rnacentral:rRNA from 1 species
GUCCACGCCCUAAACGAUGUCGACUGGUUGUUGGGGGUUUGACACUCUCAGUAACGAAGCUAACGCGUGAAGUCGACCGCCUGGGGAGUACGGCCGCAAGGUUAAAACUCAAAGGAAUUGACGGGGACCCGCACAAGCGGUGGAUUAUGUGGAUUAAUUCGAUGCAACGCGAAAAACCUUACCUACCCUUGACAUGUCCAAGAGCCGGAAGAGAUUCCGGUGUGCCCGAAAGGGAAUCGGAACACAGGUGCUGCAUGGCUGUCGU